AUGGCAUCGCAUUUAUCCUUUUUUUCUAAAUCUUUUUUUAGAACCCAUAGGUUCUCAAUAGUGAAAGCCUUAUUUUGGCUUUGUAGAAUUGUGUCAACUAAGUAGUGGACACAGGCCUCUUCACCUUCUUUCGUAAUGAGGUUAGUUGUUUGUUCUAAAAGUGGCAUUUGAACGCCAAACUUCUUAUUGCAAAAAAACCACAAGUGUUCUUUAAAGAUUUUUAUCUCUGUGUUUAAUUUUUCCGGAGUCAAUUUUUUCAUAGUCGAAAGAUAAUCUUGUAGGUCGAUUGCUUCUUUUGCUUC
rnacentral:lncRNA from 1 species